ACAUACUGGUAGGGGUGGGGGAACAGGUUUGCUCAUUCAUAAUAACUGGACUUUUUCACCACAUGCUUCACUAUGUAACAAUACAUCUUUUGAAUUCCAUGCCAUUACUACAAUGCAACCCACAAAAAUACAUGUUGUUGUCAUCUAUCGCCCCCAGGUCAGCUGACAAGCUUUCUUGAGGAAUUGGAUGUCCUGCUGUCCUCCUUGCCAGAGGAUGGCAGGCCACUUGUGGUUCUUGGUGAUUUCAACAUACACCAGGACAAACCCCAGGCCAUUGAACUGAAUACUCUUCUGGCCUCAUUUGACUUGGAAAGACUACACACCACAGCAACUCACAGACCAGCACGGACUACACCACCCAGCCCCUGGCUGUCUGACAUCCUUCGUGAACAUCGGACUGUUCUCAGGGCAGCUGAGAGGAGAUGGCUGAAAUCUAAAGAUCCAGCUGAUCUAGCCCAACGACACCACAGUGACCGUUCGAAUCGCUGCCUGUCUGGCAGACAUCUCGGCCUGGAUGAAGGAACACCACCUUCAACUCAACCCUGCCAAGACAGAACUCCUUGUCUUUCCAGCCAACCCUGCUGUUGAACACAACAUCACCGUGCAGCUGGGUCCAACUACAGUUUCGCCUUCCAAAACGGUCAGAAAUCUAGGGGUAACCAUUGAUGAUGAGCUAAAUUUCACAGACCACAUUUCAAAACUGCAAGAUCUUGUAGAUUUACACUCUACAAUAUCAGGAAGAUAAGACCCUUCCUCUCUGUACAUGCCACACAACUGCUCGUUCAGUCCCUUGUCAUAACUAGACUGGACUACUGUAAUGCUCUCAUUGCAGGCCUUCCUGCAUGUGCUAUUAGACCUCUCCAAAUGAUCCAGAAUGCAGCAGCACGUCUGGUCUUUAAUGAACCUAAGAGAGCACAUGUUACACCACUCUUUGUCUCUCUCCACUGGCUGCCGGUUCAUGCACGUAUUAAAUUCAAGGCCCUGAUGCUGGCAUAUAAAACAGUCACUGGGUCUGCUCCAGCAUACCUAAAAACAUUUAUGCAGAGCUACGUUCCCACCAGAAGCCUGCGGUCGGCUAAGGAACGCCGCCUUGUCGUACCAAAACAAAGAGGCACCAAAACACUUUCCCAGACUUUCAGUUUCAUCAUACCACGGUGGUGGAAUGACCUUCCCAACUCAAUCCGGGAAGCUAACUCACUCUCUAUCUUCAAAAAACGGCUAAAAACACAUCUUUUCCAAAAGCACU